rnacentral:rRNA from 1 species
GAUGAACGCUAGCGGCAGGCCUAAUACAUGCAAGUCGGACGGGAUCCUUUGGCGAGCUUGCUCAAAGAAGGUGAGAGUGGCGCACGGGUGCGUAACGCGUGAGCAACCUACCCAUAUCAGGGGGAUAGCCCGAAGAAAUUCGGAUUAACACCGCAUAAUACUGUUAGUUGGCAUCGAUUUACAGUUAAAUAUUUAUAGGAUAUGGAUGGGCUCGCGUGACAUUAGCUAGUUGGUAGGGUAACGGCUUACCAAGGCUACGAUGUCUAGGGGCUCUGAGAGGAGAAUCCCCCACACUGGUACUGAGACACGGACCAG